rnacentral:rRNA from 1 species
GAUUAAGUUAUUAAGGGCGCACGGUGGAUGCCUUGGCACUAGAAGCCGAUGAAGGACGUUACUAACGACGAUAUGCUUUGGGGAGCUGUAAGUAAGCUUUGAUCCAGAGAUUUCCGAAUGGGGAAACCCAGCAUGAGUUAUGUCAUGUUAUCGAUAUGUGAAUACAUAGCAUAUCAGAAGGCACACCCGGAGAACUGAAACAUCUUAGUACCCGGAGGAAGAGAAAGAAAAUUCGAUUCCCUUAGUAGCGGCGAGCGAAACGGGAAGAGCCCAAACCAACAAGCUUGCUUGUUGGGGUUGUAGGACACUCUAUACGGAGUUACAAAGGACGACAUUAGACGAAUCAUCUGGAAAGAUGAAUCAAAGAAGGUAAUAAUCCUGUAGUCGAAAAUGUUGUCUCUCUUGAGUGGAUCCUGAGUACGACGGAGCACGUGAAAUUCCGUCGGAAUCUGGGAGGACCAUCUCCUAAGGCUAAAUACUCUCUAGUGACCGAUAGUGAACCAGUACCGUGAGGGAAAGGUGAAAAGCACCCCGGAAGGGGAGUGAAAUAGAACCUGAAACCGUGUGCUUACAAGUAGUCAGAGCCCGUUAAUGGGUGAUGGCGUGCCUUUUGUAGAAUGAACCGGCGAGUUACGAUUUGAUGCAAGGUUAAGCAGUAAAUGUGGAGCCGUAGCGAAAGCGAGUCUGAAUAGGGCGUUUAGUAUUUGGUCGUAGACCCGAAACCAGGUGAUCUACCCUUGGUCAGGUUGAAGUUCAGGUAACACUGAAUGGAGGACCGAACCGACUUACGUUGAAAAGUGAGCGGAUGAACUGAGGGUAGCGGAGAAAUUCCAAUCGAACCUGGAGAUAGCUGGUUCUCUCCGAAAUAGCUUUAGGGCUAGCCUCAAGUGAUGAUUAUUGGAGGUAGAGCACUGUUUGGACGAGGGGCCCCUCUCGGGUUACCGAAUUCAGACAAACUCCGAAUGCCAAUUAAUUUAACUUGGGAGUCAGAACAUGGGUGAUAAGGUCC